AACCCUACGCCGUCCUACUCCUUUGGUACGAGCCUUCCUUGAAAGGGAAAGGAUUAACAAAGAAUGGCAUCAUGAGUCCGCAUGUUCACAUGAUUAAAGGUAUUCCGGUAGACGAUGGGGAUGCGUUCCAUUAGAUAGUAGGCGGGGUAACGGCCCACCUAGUCUUCGAUGGAUAGGGGUUCUGAGAGGAAGGUCCCCCACAUUGGAACUGAGACACGGUCCAA
rnacentral:rRNA from 1 species